UCACCUGCCGUCCCCGUCUGUGGCGUGGCCUUCGCCUUGGGAGAACCUCUAGUGCCAAGCAUCAGAGUGAAGAGGGCUGGAGAGCUGGUGCCGCUCCCAGUAGGACUUCUGGUGACGUCGGAUGGGCUGUGGAUGGGCAGCUCUGCCUGCAGGCGCCAUCAGGGUGUCCCAGAGUCCUGGUACAGGCCAGGGGCCCCCCGCCACCUUCAGGAGGAGAGGAGGGGAGGGGGUCACGGCUGGACCAAGGAACUUGGUUGGACCUGCGUCUUGGGACCUGUGACUCCCUGCCCCCACACCUCCUCCACCGCCUCUUCCUGCAGAGUGGCUGUAGGGGAGAGCUGAGAGCCCAGGCUGAGGGCUUCUGUCCUGGGAGGGUGGAGGUGGCACAUGGGCAGCCUGGGCUUGUGUCUGUGGGCAGUUCUUCUGCAGAGGCUCCUUCCUGCCCGCCACCUCCUAUGUGCAGGUAUGGCACCGUCCUUGGCUGUUGGAGCCUGCGUCCUCUCAGGGUCCCUUGGACAGGACUUAAAAUUGUCCAUCUCAGUGUUCUCUCCCUAUUUGAGUCUGGCCCUGAGAAGCCUCAGGUGUCCCUAGGCCCAUUGGCUGGAGGCCAGAGCCGCUGCCACCCUGUCUCCCGGCCCACCUCCCUGCCUGCAUGGUGGGGCUGCUUUAGCAUUGGCCGCUGUCCCUAUCUGCCCCUGGUUUGGUGUUGGUGGGGGCGGCCACACCCCGAAGCACAUCCCACCUCUCGGACCCUCAGUGCCUCGUCCCAAUGGUGACGGCGCUUAAGAAUCAGGCUCAGGUUGUAUCCGUCUCCCUUGUAAAUCCCUUUGGUUUCAAAAGAGCUCUGGCUGGGGACGUCCCACCACAGGUGGAAGCACUGGUCUGCAGUCCAGUGACGGGUGUGCUUUCCUGGAAACAGCCACAGUGCGGGACCCUGACGGCCAUCCCUGGGCCUGGUUGGCGGGGCGGGCGGGGGGCUGGUGCCUGUAAGGCUGCUGUUCCCUGUGUGGACCCUCCAUGCCGAGCCCCAAGGACCAGGGAACGCUGGCCGCUCCCACACCCCUCCUGAGGGUGGAGAGGUGUUUGCAGCAACCUGGCACCUUCUGGAUUGCACCAGGCUCGGGGCAGGUGGCCACAGUGUCUGAGUCUGGCACACCGUGCGCGGAGGUGGAGACAGCCACCUCCGGCAGAGCGUGUGCCAUUGCUGAGAACGGCAGCUGCGUGGCAGUUACUCGGAGCAGGCUCAAGCCGAGGGCAAGGUGGGGCCCUGGGGAGUCGCUGUGGUGGCCCGUGUUGGAAGGCUCCUGUGACACCUGGCCCUAGCCAAAGCCCUGCGGACACUCCUCAGGGUCUGGCUACCACUCGCAGCGUGGGCACUGGUGAUGCCUUUGGUUUCCCAACCUGGUGCCCAGCCUGGCUGGUGCAUGGCUCAGGACUCCAGCCCCUCUGGAGGGCCAGGGGGUGAGGCGCGUGCUCUGGUCUCAGGCUCAGCUGUAGCCUGCUGUGGUUAGACGCAGCAGGGGCCAUGGCACAGCGGGACGGGGGAUGGCCCGGGCCCCUUGACUCUCCCCAAACUAGCCAGUGAGCUCGGCCCCCGUCCAGUCAGCCGAGAUGCUUUGAGGGCUGUGGAGGGUGGGCAGGGACAUUCUCUGGCCUGUGGUGCUCUCCAGUCUUGUUGGAGCCCCUGCUGGCCCACUGGGCUUCUGGUCAGUGGGCCUGGGCCAUUACUAGCCCACACCCGGUGAUGCUGAGGAUGUUGGCACAGCUGUGGGAUACUAGCAAAGUGGUGACCCCCAAGAGAGGUCUGGAUCUCCUAACCCCAGUACCAUGCCCGUGACCUUACUCGGGAAUGGGGUCUUUGUAAUUGUGUGUCUGGAGAUGCGGUGGGCCUGGGUUAGGGUGGACUGUGCAUAGAGUGACUGGUGUCCUUGGAGGAGGAGAGGGCAGAGGAGGUGUGUGCAGAUGGAGGCAGGAGGACCCUCCCCGCGGGCCUGCGCUGUGGUUCUCUGCGUUGGCCUCCAGAGCUGAGGUGAGCAGCUGCCUGUCCUGGGCCAGCUGUGUGGGGUGGCUUCUCGGGGCAGCUCUGAGCCCUGAGCGCAGCCCUGGGGGACCAGGACUCGGAUGGCAGGUGCUGGGGCAGUGCUGAGGGACAGCAGUCAAGACAGCCAUCUGAACGUUUCUGUUUCCUGCUGUUUUCUUGAAGUGACCCAGGGAAACUUCUGGAACACCCCUGGCCUAAGCAGCCUGGGUCCAGGGGGAGCUCUUGAGGGCUGGCGGAGGGGUAUCUUGGUCUUUUCAAAAAGGUACCCACAAAGGCUGCCUGGGUCUGGUCAGUGAUGCCCGCUGGGCAGAGGGGUGCCCUUCAGUGACUUAGGGGGCUGUGUCAUUGGGAAGUGUCAUUGGGCACGUGGCUGGUUGGUGCUGACAGCUGCUCCCAGGGAGGCGCUGUUGGAGGGGGUCUGCAUUUCCAGUGAGCCCCGCAGCUGCUGGAUGUCGCAGUCAGCCACAGCAGUCUAAGGUAGGACCCCGGCAGGGCUGUGAGCCCCUCUGUCCCCCAGCACUGCCCCCCGCAGCCUGCACACGGGUCUGGGUUCUGACGUCAGCUGUCUCAAAAGCCAGGUCAUACCCCUUGAGGUUGCUGAGCACCCCCUAAGAUGAGGUGUGCUGGCAGCACCUGCAUGCAGACACAGUGACCAAGGGCAGGUGCUGCUGUCCAGCGGGUCCCAGUGGGGCCCGGGCAGGCCGGCAUUGGCAGCACCCUCCAAACCCACAAGACGCCUGCAGAGCGGCUUGGGUGACGGCGAGUGCGGGCUCCUCGUGACAUCCUGCUGCAGUGGGCCAGGUGCUCAGAGAUGAUUUGCAUACAGGUGAGGGCCUAGGGACUCGGAGGCCCCGAGUCCAGGCAGGGUCAGGCAGGACAGACGCCUGGAGAGGUGCCGUGCAGGGCCCGCGCAGUGCCUGGACAGGCCAGCAGGGGGCAGCCGAGCUCCAGUGGCAGGCGCUGGGACAGGCCAGGCCCUGCUUCCUCCCUCUGACCAGGGCAGGGUGUCCUCCGAGGGGCCUUCUUGGGCCCCGCACCUGGGCAGCAGUGCCCUCUGCGGCUCCACCUUUCCUCUCCUGUGCUCACUUCUCUGGCCCCAGGGGCCCCAGGGGAUCUGUGUGUGGCAGGGAUGUGUCCCCACGGCUGGCAGGAGACCAUGCCAACAUUGUUGAAUUCGGGGCUGCUGGUCUCUCUGUGGGGGGACAGGGUGUGACGAGGCGGCUGCGGGCUCCCCCACUGAACGCGCUGGACACGGGGGGGCAGGCAGUGCCAGGGCUGCUGGCUCAGGGACCCUUCUGGGUGGGCCUGGGGUGGCCCCUGGCCUGCCCUGCCUGCGAGCCACUGUGCAGGCACUCCGAUCCUGUCCCCCUCUGGAGGGACCUGUGUUGGGAGUCUGGGUGCUCGGCAGCGGGUGGCACAGGCCUUGGGGAUCUGCGGACUCCAGUUCCCUCCACCCUGUUUCCCCGGAAGCGUGGUCUCAGGUGGCUUCGCUAGCCGCCCCUUACCUGGCCCAUGGCAGGCUUGUCAGGGCAAAGAAGAGGGUCCACAUCCGGGACCCUGGCAGAGGGUGUCAGCCAGGGAUCUCAUUUUUGCAGCAGGGCCAUAGUUCCUGGGGGAAAGCCUGGGGUCAGAGGCCAUGCUGGACACUCCCCUUGAACAGGGAGGUGGCCGGGCAGUGGACUGAGGCUGGUGUGCAGGCUGCUCCGCCCGCUGCCUGACUUAGUCUUCCCGGGCUGUGCCGUGGUCUGGAGGGCAGACUCUCUGUUUUCCAUGGUCGAGUCCGAGGGCUGUGCCCUGGGUCCUGCUGGGCGUGUAGUAGGUGCUCAGAAAGCUUCUGUGGACGGAUGGACACAGGAGCAGUGGCCACCUGUGCCAGCGUGCUGCUGACCUGCUGGGUGGGUGAGGACCCAGGUGCCCUUCUUUUGCUGGCACCCACUGUGGGGCGUGAGGCUGCAGGUGGCCCUGGCAGCCAUUUGUGCCCUGUGACACGGACGAGGAGGUUAGCCAGGGGCCUGUGCAUGCUGCGGGGAAAAGGUCAAGUGAGCCCCUGGGCCACGCGAGCACUGGAGGGCCCCGGGACCCUUAACUCAGACUGGCCGUCGCGGGGCCCUCUGUAGUGUGCUGUGGCUGUCUCUCCGAAGAGAGUGCAGCUCGGAGUGUUCUGGACACCGCCAGCAUUGACACCCGUCUCUCUGCACCUGGGCUGGUGGCCUUGUGUCAGCCACUCACGGACAGAAGAAUGGCAUUGAUGUUGGGGACUGUCCCCAGUGAGGACGGGGAACAAGGGAAGUUGUCAUGGGGUGUCUGCGAAUGGUGGUGGCACUGUGACUAUGGUGGCUUGAGGGACCACUCACACUCAGGUGGGCUGAGCAUGUUAGACUCUGAACGGGUCAGGAAGUGGUAGGGUUAGGAGGAAGUGUGGGGCCUGCACACUAGUUAGGACCACUCUGGUGCUCAGGGGGCAGGGGGCCGUGGUGACCAGGGCUGAGCUGCAGGGACACAGCCUGAGCCCCUUGGCUCGUGGUGGACAGUAGAGAAGUCGCUGGCUCUUGCAGGCUGGAGGCCAGGGUCAUGGCCUGUGGAGUGCCCCCGGGAGGCAGUCUUAGCUGGGUCAGAUGCCUUUGGCAUUUUUAUGAGAUGCCAGGAAUGUUUGGGGUGCUUGGGGCCGAUGGUCCUGCGUUCCACCUGGUGAGUUGUUUUGCCACAUACCUGAACAGCAGUGACUGCGCGUGACGGCGGGCGUGUGGGGCAGUGAUCUCUGCUCCAGCCAGCAGCAGUGGCCAGCAGCGGGGAACCCCAGGCUUGAUGUGGAAAGUGGGGGAAUUGAAACUGGCAGAGGGCAGGGGGGCUCUGCCCAGCUGGUGUGGGCAGGAAGUGCUCCUUCCAGCCUCCGGGGCUGGGCACCCUGGCAGAGUGCUGGCUCCGCCUGGCUUUUCCUAGAAGAGAAUUCACCUCACCCCCAACCGGUCAGCACAUGCCAGGCCCAGCGUGCAGCGGGCGGGUGGGGGCUGACCCCACGCCCUUCUUCAGGCGCAGGGUGCCGGGUGCCCGGCUGGUCUCCUGGGGCUCCUGCAGGCUGGUGGCCUCAGCUGUGGUAGCAUGUCCUCUCAUGGUUUCAGAGGCCAGAGGCGCAAGGUCAGGCUGUGGGAGUGCCCCCCUCCGAAGGCGCUGGGAGGACCCUGCCUGGUCCCCCAGCUUCUGUGGCUCCCGUGUCCUCCGCCCUCCUUGGCUUGUGCCUGCACCUUUGCAGGCUCUGCUUCUGGUACCGUCGGGCCACCUCCCCCGGGUGUCUGGGCCCACAUCUCCCUCCUCCUAGGAGGACGCCAGGUAUGUUGGGUUCAGGGCUACCCUCCUCCAGGUGGCCUCUGCUGAGUCCAGCGUGUUUCCAGAUCUGGACGUGACUCUGGGGGACGUUCACUGGCUGGCAGCGUGUCUCCCUGUUCACACGUGGGACACUUUCCCCAGCAUUCCUUGGAAUGGCUGAGUGUCCAGCGGGGAGGUGGACAGCUGGAGGCUUUGCGGUCUGGUCUCAUGGAAACGGGGGAUUCAGUGUGAGCCCACCUUCUGGAUGCCCAGCGGCGGGGGAUUCAGUGUGCGUGGCUGCUCCCUGCUGGUCCCUCACCCUGGCAGGCAGUGAGUUCUGGAAGCCCUCGUCCAGCAGACGCCCAGCCCAGUUACCGACUGGGGCGGCCUCCUGACGUCUGACUCUCACGCGGUCUGCGGUGAUGGAGAACCCGGAGCCUUGUGCCCCUGAGAGUGACGUUCUGCCAAGCGCUGGACAGUCGGGUGCUGCUCUCUGUGGACAGACGCUCCCCACGGCGCAGAGCAGAGACCCUGGUCCUCAGAAGGCCUGAGCGGGGCCAGCACUCAUUCUGCAUCUGAAGAAGAAUCCCAGGACUGGCAUCAGGUGGCCAAGGACGAGUCGCAGAGGCCACAGCCCUAGAAGGCCCCUUCGCCUCUCCGAGGCUCCUCGGACCGUUUUCUGGUGAGCGUGUGGCUGCGCUGGACCACGCCAGACCCCCUGGUCCUGCUGUGGCCCCUCGAGCUGGGGUGGGGGCUCCGCUGUGAGGCCAGUGCUGCUCCUGGGCAGGCCCACGAGGGUGCUGUCCCUGCGCACAGCGUUAGGAGAGGAGAGGUGUGGGGUGCCCUGGGCAGGGCUGUGGCCGCCUCUGUCCCCCAGUCCUUCAAGGCCGGGGUCCCAGGAGGAGCCACAGCGAGUGCGGAGCGGCUGGCCCUGGUCUCUGGGUGAGUGUGGAGGCUGGGGCUUCAGGCAGGGACCCUGUGAGGGACGUGCGGGGACCAACAGGACUGUCUGUCCCUGAGGGCCAGGUCCCCUCCACGCCUCUGGGUGGGCUGGUGGGUGAGAAGGGAGGCCCCGGGCAGCUGGGCGGCCUCCUGGGGGAUCAGGCGAGUCCGGGGGCUGGGCCUCCCUGAGCUGUCCUGCUGCAGCCUGCGCUGACCCCCCAUGAUGUCCUGGGCCUCAGGACGAGGAUGCAGGCCAUGUGCUAAUUGAGCGGCGUCUGGGGUGGCCCCUGGGCCAGCCGACUGUCCUCAUCCCGUUUGUGCAGCCGCCUCCCCGCCCGGCCUGCUGCUGCUGCUGCAAAGACCGCCGGCCUCGGGCAGCGCCGGCUCCAGAAGUGAUAGCUAAUUGGGGACAGAAAGGGCCCGAUUGUCUCGCGGCGGCCGGAAGAGCUGCGUGGGCGGCUGGAGGAGCCGGAGGCGGCCUUGCUUCGCCCAGCAGCUGCCACCGCCGGAGAUGUUUGGGGAUUACGUCAGCGCUGGCGGGCAGGGGCCGCGGGGACAGCGAGGGAGGCGGGCUCCGGGCGGCCUCCCGCCCCCAGGCCUCGGGACAAUGCUGUCAUUGUGGGCCGGGAGAGUGGCUGCCUCCGGAUGAAUGGCACAUGGGCCUCUUGACCAAGGAGGCGGCUUGUAGUCCCGAUCUGUCCCCUUGCCCGUCGCCGGGGAGGCCCUGGCUGGAGUCUGGUGGGAGGGAAGCCUGACGGGGCCCCCGG